GCCCCGGCCGCUCCCGGCCU
rnacentral:miRNA from 1 species